UACGAAGGGGGCUAGCGUUGCUCGGAAUCACUGGGCGUAAAGCGCACGUAGGCGGAUUGUUAAGUCAGGGGUGAAAUCCUGGAGCUCAACUCCAGAACUGCCUUUGAUACUGACGGUCUUGAGUCCGGGAGAGGUGAGUGGAACUGCGAGUGUAGAGGUGAAAUUCGUAGAUAUUCGCAAGAACACCAGUGGCGAAGGCGGCUCACUGGCCCGGUACUGACGCUGAGGUGCGAAAGCGUGGGGAGCAAACAGG
rnacentral:rRNA from 1 species